rnacentral:tRNA from 1 species
GGGGCUGUAGGCUAGCCUGGUAGGCUUCCGCCUUGGGGUGGCGGCGACCCGAGUUCGAAACUUUGUGCGAAAAUCUCGGCAGCCCCA